AGAUUGAACGCUGGCGGCGUGCCUAACACAUGCAAGUCGAGCGGUAACAGGUGUAGCAAUACAUGCUGACGAGCGGCGAACGGGUGAGUAAUGCUUUGGAAUCUUCCCAGUAGUGGGGAAUAACCAGUCGAAAGAUUGGCUAAUACCGCAUACGUCUGUAAAGGGAAAGCGGGGGCUCGUAAGACCUCGCGCUAUUGGAUGAGCCAAAGUCGGAUUAGCUAGUUGGUGGGGUAAUGGCCUACCAAGGCGACAAUCCGUAGCUGGUCUGAGAGGACGACCAGCCACACCGGAACUGAGACACGGUCCGGACUCCUACGGGAGGCAGCAGUGGGGAAUAUUGGACAAUGGGGGAAACCCUGAUCCAGCGACGCCGCGUGUGUGAAGAAGGCCUGCGGGUUGUAAAGCACUUUUAGUGGGACAAAAGCUACGGAUUAAUACUCUGUGGUCUUGAUUUAACCAAAGAAAAGCACCGGCUAACUCCGCGCCAGCGCCGCGGU
rnacentral:rRNA from 1 species